rnacentral:rRNA from 1 species
GCAGGCUGCAACUCGCCUGCAUGAAGCUGGAAUUGCUAGUAAUCGUGGAUCAGCAUGCCACGGUGAAUACGUUCCCGGGCCUUGUACACACCGCCCGUCACACCAUGAGAGUCAGUAACGCCCGAAGUCAGUGACCCAACCAAUCAGGAGGGAGCUGCCGAAGGUGGGACCGAUAACUGGGGUGAAGUCGUAACAAGGUAAC